rnacentral:rRNA from 1 species
UACGUAGGGGCCUAGCGUUGUCCGGAUUUAUUGGGCGUAAAGAGCUCGUAGGCGGUUCGGUAAGUCAGGUGUGAAAUCUCCACGCUCAACGUGGAGGCGCCACCUGAAACUGCCGUGACUCAAGUCCGGUAGGGGAGUGUGGAAUUCCUGGUGUAGCGGUGAAAUGCGUAGAUAUAGGAAGGAACACCAGUGGCGAAGGCGACCACCUGGACUGAUACUGACACUGAGGUGCGAAAGCGUGGGGAGCAAACAGG